CCGUGUGGCAAAAAUAGGAUACGGGUAAAGCCGUGCCCAAAAAUAACUGCCCAAAGGCCGGGGCGCCAAGUUCGUCCAGCAGAAAAAGGCCACAAAAACGGGUGGGCUAUAGCCUUGGGGGGUGGGGCUCGCCAACUUUGUCCGCCGGAGUGGGAAUGCCGCGAGACUUUGCGAGGGUCCUUCCUGUGCCAAAAAUGGACAACGGGCAAAGCCGCGCCCAAAAAUAACAGCCUGAAGGCCGGGGCGCCAAGUUCGUCCAGCGGAAAAAGGCCACAAAAACGGGUGGGCUAUAGCCAUGAGGGGUGGGGCUGGCCAACUUUGUCCGCCGGACUUGGAAUGCCGCGAGACUUUGCGAGGGGCCUCCGUGUACCAAAAAUGGGCUGUGGGCAAAGCCGCGCUCAAAAAUAACUACCCGAAUGCCGGGGCGCCAAGUUCGUCCAGCGGAAAAAGGCCACAAAAACGGGUGGGCUAUAGCCUUCGGGGGUGGGGCUGGCCAAGUUCGUCCGCCGGACUCGGAAUGGCGUGAGACUUUGCGAGGCGUCACCGCGUGCCAAAAAUAGGCCACGGGCACAGCCGCGCCCAAAAAUAACCACCCAAAGGCCGGAGCGCCAAGUUCGUCCAGUGGAAAAAGCCCACAAAAACGGGUGGGCUAUAGCCUAGGGGGGUGGGGCUGGCCAAUUUCGUCCGCCGGACUCGGAAUGGCGCGAGACUUUGCGAGGGGCCUCCGUGUGCCAAAAAUAGGCCGCGGUCAAAGCCACGUCCAAAAAUAACCGCACGAAGGCCGGGGCGCCAAGUUCCUCCUGCGGAAAAAGGCAACAAAAACGGGUGGGCUAUAGCCUUGGGGGUGGGGCUGGCCCACUUCGUCCGCCGGACUCGGAAUGCCGCGAGACUUUGCGAGGGCCCUCUGUGUGCCAAAAAUAGGCCGCGGGCAAAGCCGCACCCAAAAAUAACCGCCCGAAGACCGGGGCGCCAAGUUCGUCCAGCGGAAAAAGGCCACAAAAACGGGUGGGCUACAGCCUUGGGGGGUGGGGCAGGCUAACUUCGUCCGCCGGACUCGGGAUGCUGCGAGACUUUGAGAGGGGCCUCUGUGUGCCAAAAAUAGGCUGCGGGCACAGCCGCGCCCAAAAAUAACCAUCCGAAGGCCGGGGCGUCAAAUUCGUCCAGCGGAAAAAGCCCACAAAAACGGGUGGGCUAUAGCCUUGGGGGGUGGGGUUGGCCAACUUCGUCCGCCGGACUCGGAAUGGCGCGAGACUUUGCGAGGCGCCUCCAUGUGCCAAAAAUAGGCCGCGGGCACAGCCGCGCCCAAAAAUAACCACCCGAAGGCCGGGGCGCCAAGUUCGUCCAGCGGAAAAUAGCCACAAAAACGGGUAGGCUAUAGCCUUGGGGGGUGGGGCUGGCCGACUUCGUCCGCCGGACUCGGAAUGGCGCGAGACUUUGCGAGGUGUCUCCGUGUGCCAAAAAUAGGCCGGGGGCAAAGCCGCGUCAUAAAAUAACCGUCCGAAGGCCGGGGCGCCAAGUUCAUCCAGCGGAAAAAGGCCACAAAAACGGGUGGGCUAUAGCCCUGGGGGGUGGGGCUGGCCAACUUCAUCCGCCGGACUCGGAAUGGCGCAUGACUUUGCGAGGCGUCUCCAUGCUCCAAAAAUAGGCCGUGGGUACAGCCGCACCCAAAAAUAACCGCCCGAAGGUCGUGGCGCCUAGUUCGUCCAGCGGAAAAAUGCCACAAAAACGGGUGGGCUAUAGCCUUGGGGGGUGGGGCUGGCCAACUUCGUCCGCCGGACUGGGAAUGGCGUGAGACUUUGCGAGGCACCUCUGUGUACCAAAAAUAGGACGCGGGCACAGCCGCGUCCAAAAAUAACUGCCCGAAGGCCGGGACGCCAAGUUCGUCCAGCGGAAAAAGGCCACAAAAACAGGUGGGCUAUAGCCUUGGGGGGUGGGGCUGGCCAACUUCGUCCGCCGGACUCGGAAUGGCGUGAGACUUUGCAAGGCACCUCCGUGUGCCAAAUAUAGGCCGCGGACACAGCCGCGCCCAAAAAUAACCGCCCGAAGGCCGGGGCGCCAAGUUCGUCCAGCGGCAAAAAGGCCACAAAAACGGGUGGGCUAUAGCCUUGGGGGGUGGGGCUGGCCAACUUCGUCCGCCGGACUCGGAAUGCCGCGAGACUUUGCGAGCGGCCUCCGUGUGCCAAAAAUAAGCCGCGGGCACAGCCGCGCCCAAAAAUAACCGCCCGAAGGCCGGGGCGCCAAGUUCGUCCAUCGGAAAAGGCCACAAAAACGGGUCGGCUAUAGCCUUGGGGGAUGGGGCUGGCCAACUUCGUCCGCCGGACUCGGAAUGGCGUGAGACUUUGCGAGCCGUCUCCAUGUGCCAAAAAUAGGUCGCGGGCAAAGCCGCCCCCAAAAAUAACCACCAGAAGGCCGGGGCACCAAGUUCGUCCCGCGGAAAAAGGCCACAAAAACGGGUGGGCUAUAGCCUUGGGGGGUGGGGCUGGCCAACUUCGUCCGCCGGACUCGGAAUUGCCCGAGACUCUGUGAGGCGCCUCCGUGUGCCAAAAAUAGGCUGCGGACAAAGCCGCUCCCAAAAAUAACCGCCCGAAGGCCGGGGCGCCAAGUUCGUCCAGCGGAAAAAGCCCACAAAAAUGGGUGGGCUAUAGCCUUGGGGGGUGCGGCUGGCAACUUCGUCCGCCGGACUCGGAAUGGAGCGAGACUUUGCGAGUUGCCUCCCGUGUGCCAAAAAUAGGCCGCGGGCACAGCCGCGCCCAAAAAUAACCGCCCGUAGGCCGGGGCGACAAGUUCGUCCAGCGGAAAAAGGCCCCAAAAACGGGUGGGCUAUAGCCUUUGGGGGUGGGGCUGGCCAAGUUCGUCCGCCGGACUCGGAAUGGCGUGAGACUUUGUGAGCCGUCUCCGUGUGCCAAAAAUAGGUCGCGGGAAAAGCCGCCCCCAAAAAUAACCACCCGAAGGUCGGGGCACCAAGUUCGUCCCGCGGAAAAAGGCCACAAAAACGGGUGGGCUAUAGCCUUGGGGGGUGGGGCUGGCCAACUUUGUCCGCCGGACUCGGAAUGGCGCGAGACUUUGUGAGCCACCUCUGUGUACCAAAAAUAGGCCGCGGGCAAAGCCGUACCCAAAACUAAUGGCCCGAAGGCCGGGCGCCAAGUUCGUCCAGCGGAAAAAGGCCACAAAAACGGGUGGGCUAUAGCCUUGGGGGGUGGGACUGGCACACUUCGUCCGCCGGACUCGGAAUGGCGCGAGACUUUGCGAGGCACCUCCGUGUGCGAAAAAUAGGCCGCGGGCAGAGCCGGGCCCUAAAAUAACCGCCCGAAGGCCGGGGCGCCAAGUUCGUCCAGCGGAAAAAGGCCACAAAAACGGGUGGGCUAUAGCCUUGGGGGGUGGGGCUGGCCAACUUCGUCCGCCGGACACGGAAUGGUGCGAGUCUAUGCAAGGUGCCUCCGUGUACCAAAAAUCGUCCACGUGCACAGCCGUGCCCAAAAAUAACCGCCCGAAGGCCGGGGCGCCAAGUUCGUCCAGCGGAAAAAGGCCACAAAAACGGGUGGGCUAUAGCCUUGGGGGGUGGGGUUGGCCAACUUCGUCCGCCGGACUCGGAAUGGCGCGAGACUUUGCGAGGCGCCUCCGUGUGCCAAAAAUAGGCCGCGGGCACAGCCGCGCCCAAAAAUAACCACCCGAAGGCCGGGGCGCCAAGUUCGUCCAGCGGAAAAUAACCACAAAAACGGGUAGGCUAUAGCCUUGGGGGGUGGGGCUGGCCAACUUCGUCCGCCGGACUCGGAAUGGCGCGAGACUUUGCGAGGCGCCUCCGUGUGCCAAAAAUAGGCCGCGGGCACAGCCGCGCCCAAAAAUAACCGCCCGAAGGCCGUGGCGCCAAGUUCGUCCAGCGGAAAAGGGCCACAAAAACGGGUGGGCUAUUGCCUUGGGGGGUGGGGCUGGCGAACUUCGUCCGCCGGACUCGGAAUGGCGCGAGACUUUUGCGAGGCGCCUCCGUGUGCCAAAAAUAGGCCACGGGCACAGCCACGCCCAAAAAUAACCGCCCGAAGGCCGGGGCGCCAAGUUCGUCCAGCGGAAAAAGGCCACAAAAACGGGUGGGCUAUAGCCUUGGGGGUGGGGCUGGCCAACUUUCUCCGCCGGACUCGGAAUGGCGUGAGACUUUGCGAGCCAUCUCCGUGUGCCAAAAAUAGGUCGCGGGUACAGCCGCGCCCAAAAAUAACGGCCCGAAGGCCGGGGCGCCAAAUUCGUCCAGCGGAAAAAGGCCACAAAAACGGGUGGGCUAUUGCCUUGGGGGGUGGGGCUGGCGAACUUCGUCCGCCGGACUCCAAAUGGCGUGAGACUUUGCGAGGCACCUCCGUGUGACAAAAAUAGGCCGCGGGCACUGCCGUGCCCAAAAAUAAGCGCCCGACGGCCGGGGCGCCAAGUUCGUCCAGCAGAAAAAGCCCACAAAAACGGGUGGGCUAUAGCCUUGGGGGGUGGGGCUGGCCCACUUCGUCCGCCAGACUCGGAAUGGUGCGAGACUUUGCGAGGAGCCUCCGUGUGCCAAAAAUAGGCCGCGGGCACAGCCGCGCCCAAAAAUAACCGCCCGAAGGUCGGGGCGCCAAGUUCGUCCAGCGGAAAAAGCCCACCAAAACGGGUGGGCUAUAGCCUUGGGGGGUGGGGCGGGCACACUUCGUCCGCCGGACUCGGAAUGGCGCGAGACUUUGCGAGGCACCUCCGUGUGACAAAAAUAGGCCGCGGGCAGAGAAGGGCCCAAAAAUAACCGCCCGAAGGCCGGGGCGCCAAGUUCGUUCAGCGGAAAAAGGUCACAAAAACGGGUGGGCUAUAGCCUUGGGUGGUGGGCCUGGCCAACUUCGUCCGCCGGACUCGGAAUGGGGCGAGACUUUGCGAGGUGCCUUCGUGUGCCAAAAUUAGGCCGCGGGAAGAUCCGCGCCCAAAAAUAACCGCCUGAAUGGCGGGGCGCCAAGUUCGUCCAUUGGAAAAAGGCCACAAAAACGGGUGGGCUACAACCUUGGGUGGUGGGCCUGGCCAACUUCGUCCGCCGGACUCGGAAUGGCGCGAGACUUUGCGAGGUGCCUUCGUGUGCCAAAAUUAGGCCGCGGGAAGAUCCGCGCCCAAAAAUAACCGCCCGAAGGCCGGGGUGCGAAGUUCGUCCAGCGGAAAAAGGCCACAAAAACAUGUGGGCUAUAGCCUUGGGGGGUGGGGCUGGCCAACUGCGUCCGCUGGACACGGAAUGGCGCGAGACUUUGCGAGCGCCCUCCGUGUGCCGAAAAUAGGCCCCGGGCACAGCCGCGCCAAAAAAUAACCACCCGAAGGCCGGGGCGCCAAGUUCGUGCAGCGGAAAAAGGCCACAAAAACGGGAGGGCUAUAGCCUUGCGGGGUGGCGCUGGCCAACUUCUUCUGCCGGACUCGGAAUGGCGCGAGACUUUGCGAGCGGCCUCCGUGUGCCAAAAAUAGGCCCCGGGCACAGCCACGCCCAAAAAUAACCGCCCGAAGGCCGGGGCGCCAAGUUCGUCCAGCGGAAAAAGGCCACAAAAACGGGUGGGCUAUAGCCUCGGGGGGUGGGGCUGGCCAACUUCUUCCGCCGGACUCGGAAUUUUUGGCUGCGAGACUUUGCGAACGGCCUCCGUGUGCCGAGAAUAGGCCCCGGGCACAGCCGCGCCCAAAAAUAACCGACCGAAGGCCGGGGCGCCAUGUUCGUCCAGCGGAAAAAGGCCACAAAAACGGGUGGGCUACAACCUUGGGGGAUGGGGCUGGCCCACUUCGUCCGCCGGACUCGGAAUGGUGCGAGACUUUGCGAGUGGCCUCCAUGUGCCGAAAAUAGGCCCCAGGCACAGCCGCACCCGAAAAUAACAGCCCGAAGGCUGGGGCGCCAAAUUCGUCCAGCGGAAAAAGGCUACAAAAACAGGUGGGCUAUAGGCUUGGGGGGUAGGGCUGGCCAACUUCAUCCACCGAACUCGGAAUGGUGCGAGACUUUGCGAGCGGCCUCUGUAUGACGAAAAUAGGCCCCGGGCAGAGCUACGCCCACAAAUAACGGGUGGGCUAUAGCCUUGGGGGGUGGGGCUGGCCAACUUCGUCCGCCGGACUCGGAAUGCCGCGAGACUUUGCGAGGGGCCUCCGUGUGCCAAAAAUAGGCCGCGGCCAAAGGCGCGCCCAAAAAUAACCGCCCGAAGGCCGGGGCGCCAAGUUCGUCCGGUGGAAAAAGGCCACAAAAACGGGUGGGCUAUAGCCUUGGGGGGUGGGGCUGGCCAACUUCGUCCGCCGGACUCGGAAUGCCGCGAGACUUUGCGAGGGGCCUCCGUGUGCCAAAAAUAGGCCGCGGCCAAAGGCGCGCCCAAAAAUAACCGCCCGAAGGCCGGGGCGCCAAGUUCGUCCGGCGGAAAAAGGCCACAAAAACGGGUGGGCUAUAGCCUUGGGGGGUGGGGCUGGCCAACUUCGUCCGCCGGACUCAGAAUGCCGCGAGACUUUGCGAAGGGCCUCCUUGUACCAAAAAUAGGCCGCGGGAAAGCCGCGUCCAAAAAUAAAUGCCCGAAGGCCGGGGAGCCAAGUUCGUCCCGCGGAAAAAGGCCACAAAAACGGGUGGGCUAUAGCCUUGGGGGGUGCGGCUGGCCCACUUCGUCCGCCGGACUAGGAAUGCCGCGAGACUUUGCAAGGGGCCUCCGUGUGCCAAAAAUAAGCCACGGGCAAAGCCGCGCCAAAAAGUAACCGCCUGAACGCCGGGGCGCCAAGUUCGUCCAGCGGAAAAAGGCCACAAAAACGGGUGGGCUAUAGCCUUGGGGGGUGGGGCAAGCCGACUUCGUCCGCCGGACUCAGAAUGCCGCGAGACUUUGUAAGGGGCCUCCGUGUGCCAAAAAUAGGCCGUGGGAAAGCCGCGUCCAAAAAUAAACUCCCGAAGGCCGGGGCCCCAAGUUCGUACAGCGGAAAAAGGCCACAAAAACGGGUGGGCUACAGCCUUGGGGGGUGGGGCUGGCCAACUUCGUCCGACGGACUCGGCAUGCCGUGAGACUUUGCGAGGCACCUCCGUGUGCCAAAAAUAGGCCACGGGCAAAGCUGCACCCAAAAAUAACCGCCCGAAGGCCAGGGCUCCAAGUUUGUCCAGCGGAAAAAGGCCACAAAAACGAGUGGGCUAUAGCCUUGGGGGGUGGGGCUGGCCAACUACGUCCGCCGGACUCGGAAUGGCGCGAGACUCUGCGAGGCACCUCCGUGUGCCAAAAAUAGGCCGCGGGCACAGCCGCGCCAAAAAAUAACCGCCCAAAGGCCGGGGCGCCAAGUUCGUCCAGCGGAAAAAGGCCACAAACACGGGUGGGCUACAGCCUUGGGGGGUGGGGCAGGCCAACUUCGUCCGCCGGACUCGGAAUGCCGCGAGACUUUGCGAGGGGUCUCCUUGUGCCACAAAUAGGCCGCGGGCAAACCCGCGCCCAAAAAUAACCGCCCGAAGACCGGGGCCCCAAGUUCGUACAGCGGAAAAAGGCCACAAAAACGGGUGGGCUACAGCCUUGGGGGGUGGGGCUGGCCAACUUCGUUCGACGGACUCGGAAUACCGCGAGAGUUUGCGAGGGGCCUCUGUGUGCCAAAAAUAGGCCACGGGCAAAGCCACGCACGCAAAUAACUGCCCGAAGGGCCGGGGCGCCAAGUUCGUCCAGCGGA
rnacentral:lncRNA from 1 species